GUGACUCAGGAUCAUGUUAUGAUUUAGUCCAUACUGAAUCCUUCUAUUUAUUUGGGUUAAGAAAAAGAGAAAGAAAAACUGAGCCUUUCUCUACCAUACAAAAACUCUUAAAUCUUAAAAUCAGAGUGGAGGCCAGUGUGUUUUUUUUUUUCAUUGCAUUGAGAAUGAUCAGAAGGAAAGAAAACAGCAAGUCUUAAAAUCUUUUCUUGUUUUGUACCAAGUUUGGAUUUUGUUUUUCCUUCACAUUUUCUUUGUUCUUUCCCCAGUUUCUUUGUUGUUCUCAGGAAGGCGAAAUAUUCUUCCAUUUUCAGCCCAGCAGAGUGGAAUUUAUACCCAAACAUCCUCAUCAGAUUGACAAAGCAUCCUGCAGGGACAUCAUGGAGCUCAUUUAAUCUCUGGGAGAGGUGUUUGAUGCGUGGAAGGGUAAUGCCAGGACUUCAGCCACAGAAGUCUUGGCUUUCUGGCAUGAGCAAUAAGAGCUGACAAGAUCCAAGCCUCCUUUGGCAUUGCAUUUCAUAAGGUUCUUCAGCAGAAAAAGAGCAAAAUUUAGCAUUAAUUCAUUUGGCAAACAUCUAGUGAACCUCUACUAUGUGCAAAUCUUUGGACGGUUAGAGACAAAAUUAACAUAGAGCCCCAAACAGAAAAAUGACAAGAAUUGUGUGAACUUUGACAUUGGAACUAUGAAAAGCAACAAGAAGAAGCAGCAGAUGGAUCUCUCCUUACACAAUCAUUUCCCACCUUGUCCUUGUUCUCGGGUCACUAACACAGACGUUGUAUCUGUUGUGUGCGUGGCACCUUAGUCUCCUCCAAGUACCAUUGUGGAAAUGAAGGGAGAGAAGCACAAGCCUCUACUGUCAUUUCUUAAAGAACAAGAGAGUAUUCACUUGCUUUUCUUUAGACUUCAAAUUUUGUUUUAUAAAACACAGACAUGCAUAUGUAUGCACU
rnacentral:lncRNA from 1 species